rfam:Triticum aestivum genome assembly, contig: Triticum_aestivum_CS42_TGACv1_scaffold_578975_7BL
UUACUACUCCCUCCAUCCAAAAAUACUUGUCGAAGAAAUGCAUAAAAACGAAUGUAUCUAGAACUAAAAUCCAUCUACAUACAUCCAUUCCUCCGACGAGUAUUUCCGAAUGGAGGGACUACUCU